rnacentral:lncRNA from 1 species
GGGCAGUCUGCCUUCCUGUGUCCUCAUAAUUCUAAAUUAUGUCCUUGCCAUUGGCUGGGAUAAUAGCCCCAGAUAAGAGGGAGCUUUUGCAUGACCUUGGCUCUGACAGACGCUCAGGAGAACCAAGUCUGUAUAAACCUGAGGGGAGAAAUGACAACUCGGCGGCUCGAAGGAACACACAGUCCUGUCUCCAAACACCAAGAGACGAUGAGUCACAAACCAGUGAGCAGAUUUUAGAGAGUGGGGUGGGCUACCUAUUUGCCUUUUUUUUUUUUUUUUUUUUUUUUAAGGAGAGAGAAAGACAUGCCGCCAGCGUUGGAGCGCAGUGAUCUGUGAGAUAAUGAUGGAAAGCAGACAGGGGAAGCCAGGUUAUAAAAAUGUUGGGCAGGAGAUAAGGGGUCCAGGUGGUCAGGAGCAGUGGAGCUGGCCUGAGAGAAGACUGACUCUGGCUAAUGAAGGCCUGUGGCCACAUUCCUGGAGAACAGUGGGAGAGGAAGCCGUGGAGCCAGGAAGUGUCUGUCGGCGGGAACUAAUCCUGGUCACAUUACUACACAAAUGUCCCGGCGACUUCACACCAGUCCUGCUGGUCUCUGCAAACUUCCAGGUGGGGUCUGCUGCUGCUGCCAUUGCCUCUGUUGUUGUUGCUGCUGCUGGGGCUGCUGCCACCACUCACACUGCUCGUUCUGCUGAAACAGGGAGAGCGUGGAACUUCUGCACUACCCGAGGGCUGCAAACACAGUGGCUGUGCCUGGAUUACCCUCGUGUCAGCCAGCAUAGAGGGCAGGAUGAUACACAGUCUGGAACUCAUGCAGGUCCUGCUCCAGACACACUGCCCAACUGCGCGAUAACCCUGACUCUUAACAACAAGAUAGCUGAGAUGAAGAAUCGUUCAUGUUUUGGAUCAAGUCUCUACGAAAGACUGAUGUCUGUGAUUUAUGCUGCUCUCCCCCAGCCACCGUGCAGAGGUCAUGCUGAUGUCUGUGGUCUGUGCUGCCACUGGAAGCCAGUGUUGAGGUCCGUGGUCUGGAGACCAGGUUGAUGUGAGAAAACAUGUUGAUGUCUUUGGUCCAUUGUUGCUACUAGAGACCAUGAUAAUGUCCAUGAUCUGUGCUGGGGCUAGAGAGGUUGAUGUCUGUGAUCUGUACUGCUGCCGGCUACUAUGGGCAGGAAAGCUUCUUUUGCAGUGGUAUUGAUGACUGCAGACUCAUACCUGAGAGUGAGAGACAUAGGUGGCUUCUCAUUCUUUGCCAACCUCCGCUCACCCCCUAUCCCAGAAAAGAAACAGUUCAGGCAUCAAGCUAUAGAAGAGAGUAAUAAAGAUGCUGAAGUAUAGCUCUUCA